rnacentral:rRNA from 1 species
AUUGAACGCUGGCGGCAGGCCUAACACAUGCAAGUCGAGCGGAUGAAGGGAGCUUGCUCCUGGAUUCAGCGGCGGACGGGUGAGUAAUGCCUAGGAAUCUGCCUGGUAGUGGGGGAUAACGUCCGGAAACGGGCGCUAAUACCGCAUACGUCCUGAGGGAGAAAGUGGGGGAUCUUCGGACCUCACGCUAUCAGAUGAGCCUAGGUCGGAUUAGCUAGUUGGUGGGGUAAAGGCCUACCAAGGCGACGAUCCGUAACUGGUCUGAGAGGAUGAUCAGUCACACUGGAACUGAGACACGGUCCAGACUCCUACGGGAGGCAGCAGUGGGGAAUAUUGGACAAUGGGCGAAAGCCUGAUCCAGCCAUGCCGCGUGUGUGAAGAAAGUCUUCGGGUUGUAAAGCACUUUAAGUUGGGAGGAAGGGCAGUAAGUUAAUACCUUGCUGUUUUGACGUUACCAACAGAAUAAGCACCGGCUAACUUCGUG